UACAGAGGGGGCAAGCGUUGUUCGGAAUUACUGGGCGUAAAGGGCGCGUAGGCGGCCCCGCUAAGUCGAACGUGAAAUCCCCCGAGCUCAACUCGGGAACUGCGUCCGAUACUGGUGGGCUUGAAUCCGGGAGAGGGAUGCGGAAUUCCAGGUGUAGCGGUGAAAUGCGUAGAUAUCUGGAGGAACACCGGUGGCGAAGGCGGCAUCCUGGACCGGCAUUGACGCUGAGGCGCGAAAAGCUAGGGGAGCAAACGGG
rnacentral:rRNA from 1 species